rnacentral:tRNA from 1 species
GCUGAAAUUGCUCAGUUGGGAGAGGGUUAAACUGAAGAUCUAAAGGUCCCUGGUUCGAUCCUGGGUUUUGGCA